rnacentral:rRNA from 1 species
UACGAACGCUGGCGGCGUGCUUAACACAUGCAAGUCGAACGGUAAGGCCCUUUGGGGUACACGAGUGGCGAACGGGUGAGUAACACGUGGGUGAUCUGCCCUGCACUUUGGGAUAAGCCUGGGAAACUGGGUCUAAUACCGAAUACACCCUGCUGGUCGCAUGGCCUGGUGGGGGAAAGCUUUUGCGGUGUGGGAUGGGCCCGCGGCCUAUCAGCUUGUUGGUGGGGUGAUGGCCUACCAAGGCGACGACGGGUAGCCGGCCUGAGAGGGUGACCGGCCACACUGGGACUGAGAUACGGCCCAGACUCCUACGGGAGGCAGCAGUGGGGAAUAUUGCACAAUGGGCGCAAGCCUGAUGCAGCGACGCCGCGUGAGGGAUGACGGCCUUCGGGUUGUAAACCUCUUUCAAUAGGGACGAAGCGCAAGUGACGGUACCUAUAGAAGAAGGACCGGCCAACUACGUGCCAGCCGCCGCAGUAA